rnacentral:rRNA from 1 species
CCCCAGACUCCUACGGGAGGCAGCAGUGAGGAAUAUUGGUCAAUGGCCGCAGGGCUGAACCAGCCAAGUCGCGUGAGGGAUGACGGUCCUAUGGAUUGUAAACCUCUUUUGUCGGGGAGCAAAAGACGCCACGUGUGGCGUUCCGAGAGUACCCGAAGAAAAAGCAUCGGCUAACUACGUGCCAGCAGCCGCGGUAAUACGUAGGGAGCAAGCGUUAUCCGGAUUUAUUGGGUGUAAAGGGUGCGUAGACGGGAAAUUAAGUUAGUUGUGAAAUCCCUCGGCUCAACUGAGGAACUGCAACUAAAACUGAUUUUCUUGAGUGCAGGAGAGGUAAGUGGAAUUCCUAGUGUAGCGGUGAAAUGCGUAGAUAUUAGGAGGAACACCAGUGGCGAAGGCGACUUACUGGACUGUAACUGACGUUGAGGCACGAAAGUGUGGGGAGCAAACAGGAUUAGAUACCCUUGUA